rnacentral:rRNA from 1 species
CGUUAGAUUAGAUAUUUGUUGUGGUUGGGCCUAACCGGCUCCGAUCCAUUCCCGGUCUUAGAGGAUGAGCCUGCCCCUGGUACUGAUACACGGAAGAACUCCUACUGGAGGCAGCACAGGGGAAUGGGGACAAUGCACCCAGGCCUGAUCCCACCAUGCCGCGUUAGUGAUGAAGGGCUUCCGGGUGUAAAGCUUUUUCACCGAUGAAGAUCCGGACGGUAAUCGAAGUAAAAGCCCCGGCUAACUUCGUGCCCGCAGCCGCGGUAAUACGAAGGGGGCUAUCCUUGUUCGGAAGUACUGUGCAUAAAGCGCACCCACGCGGAUCUUUAAGUCAAGGGUGAAAUCCCGCAGCUCGCCUGCAGAACUGCCAUUGAUACUGGGUAUCUUGAGUAUGGAAUAGGUACGUGGAAUUCCGAGUGUACAGGUGAAAUUCGUAGAUGUUCCUCAGGAACACCAUUGGCGAUGCGGCUUACUGGUCCAUUACUGACCCUGUGGUGCGCUAGCAUGGGGAGCAAACAAGAGUAGAUACCCUGGUAUUCCACGCCGUAAGCGAUAAAUGAGAGUCGUGCUCAGCAUACUGUUCUAUGAUAUCGCUAUCUCCUUAGACAUUCAGUCUGAGGAGUGCGGCGUCAGAUUAUCACUCUAGGGAUUGACGUGUGUCCUCACAAUCGCAGAGCAUGUGGUAUAAUCAAGCAACUCGCGACCUUACCACUCUUGACGUU